AAAUAUAUUUUAUUUUAUAAAAAAAAUAUUAAAUAUAUUUAGGCAUUGCCACAAAUUUAACAUUACUAUGACUUAAUUCUAAGGCACAUAUCAUAUAUACCAUUGAACUUUCUCAAAAUAUCAAGAAUAUUCCUCAACUUUGUGAUAAUUACAAAUUUGUCUUUUGGACUAAUAACCUAUAUAUUUCUAUUUUUUUAUAAUUUUAAUUAAGGCCAAAGCUUGUGCUUUCCCAUAGUGUCUAGGUCUUAU
rnacentral:lncRNA from 1 species